rnacentral:lncRNA from 1 species
GAUAAAUCAAAAUGCAGAAAUGCUUCUUUCUGGAAUCCCACAGUUGUAGCUAGGACUUGGUUGUAGUCUUAGGUGAAUAACCUGGUUCACACAGCUGUUUAAAGACAGAGAAAUAGAAAUUGCUGGAGAAAUUGUGUUUUUAUUGUCCAGAAAAGGAAAGGUAUUCCAAAGAGCUGACAAAUAAUUCUGCAUAACCCAAAGUAGUCCUGUUGGCACAGGAUAUGGUAUUGUUUUCUAAGUUUAAACAGUAAUAAGAGAUUGUGUGUACAUAUCCUGAUACUGUCAAUUGUAUUCCUGACAAAAUCACAAGAGAUUCAAGAAGUCUCCACGCUUAGAACACAUCCCCUUUUGCACCAAAGGGCUGGGAAUGCCAAGUGGCUGCUGUCGCUAGCUCAUCCUGUGCAUCCCUUUGGAAUGCUGCUUGCAGAGCCAGUUUAAAACUAGCGCUUAUUCUUGGCAGUGCAAGCACGUAUGAAAGCAGAGGUGUGAACAGGGACGUGUACCACCACCAAGGAUACUGGGAACUGCAAUAAAGCCCGGGCAGCCCAUCAAGUAGCCCUGCAGAAGCCAGGAAUGGUGAUCCAGGCCAACACAGAGCUGCAGUCACGUGAGGAAGAAAAUCCCAGAUCUUACUGUGUGGUUUAUAAUGAAGCUUCACACCUGAGUUUGAAGCCUGCAUGCACGGCUUUUGUGACACAGUGGCUACUCUAAGGCCCCCGGCACGGCCACUGCUGAGAGCCGCCAGCCCUUCUUCCCUGCGCGGUGUGAGCCAGCGCCUGUGGGAAACCCGGCUGGAAGCGGCCCCUGGAGCGAGGGCCCGGCUCUCGCAGCAGGGAGAGCUGGCAGCUCUGGGAGUAGGGGGCGAUAGGGAGGGUGAGUCCGAAGAUGCAGGGCUGGCACUGUGACACCAAAAGGUAAAAAAGGCAGCAAGGGAGACAAUUAAGCACUAAUGAGAGCAGAGUGUGCUGCCGGAUCUGCGGGUGCCGUAGAG